rnacentral:rRNA from 1 species
UGUAAGCGUAUACCAAAGUUGUUGCGGUUAAAACGCUCGUAGUCGGAAUUUGGCAGUUCCGGAUGUGUGCACGUCGUGUGCGCACUUCGCGGGGAUUGCUUUUGUGGUCUUGCGUAGGAUGAGGCACUUUUAUUAGUGAACGUCCUCACGCAACCACUUUUUACUGUGAGAAAAUCAGAGUGCUCAAAGCAGGCAUUUGCCGUGAAUGUAUUAGCAUGGAAUAAUAGAAUAGGACUUGGUUCUAUUUUGUUGGUUUGUUGGGACUGAGUAAUGAUUAAGAGGGACAGUUGGGGGCAUUUGUAUUUCGGUGCUAGAGGUGAAAUUCUUAGAUUACCGAAAGACAAACUGCUGCGAAAGCGUCUGCCAAGGAUGUUUCCAUUGA